GACGAACGCUGGCGGCGUGCUUAACACAUGCAAGUCAAACGGAAAGGCCUUUUCGGAGGUACUCGAGUGGCGAACGGGUGAGUAACACGUGGGUGAUCUGCCCUGCACUCUGGGAUAAGCCUGGGAAACUGGGUCUAAUACCGGAUAGGACCGCACUUUAGUGUGUGUGGUGGAAAGUUUUUUCGGUGUAGGAUGAGCCCGCGGCCUAUCAGCUUGUUGGUGGGGUAAUGGCCUACCAAGGCGGCGACGGGUAGCCGGACUGAGAGGUUGGUCGGCCACAUUGGGACUGAGAUACGGCCCAGACUCCUACGGGAGGCAGCAGUGGGGAAUAUUGCACAAUGGGCGCAAGCCUGAUGCAGCGACGCCGCGUGGGGGAUGACGGCCUUCGGGUUGUAAACUCCUUUCGCCAGGGACGAAGCGUUUUGUGACGGUACCUGGAGAAGAAGCACCGGCUAACUACGUG
rnacentral:rRNA from 1 species